AGGAGCGUAGCUCAGUGGGAGAGCAUUGCCUUGACGUGGCAAGGGUCGGCGGUUCGAAACCGCCCGUUCCUA
rfam:Denitrovibrio acetiphilus DSM 12809, complete genome.